rnacentral:tRNA from 1 species
GGGAAGGUAGCUCAGUGGUAGAGUGCUUGCCUUGCAUGCAUGAGGUACUGGGUUCCAUUCCU